rnacentral:rRNA from 1 species
ACAGGAUUAGAUACCCUGGUAGUCCACGCCGUAAACGAUGUCGACUUGGAGGCUGUUCCCUUGAGGAGUGGCUUCCGGAGCUAACGCGUUAAGUCGACCGCCUGGGGAGUACGGCCGCAAGGUUAAAACUCAAAUGAAUUGACGGGGGCCCGCACAAGCGGUGGAGCAUGUGGUUUAAUUCGAUGCAACGCGAAGAACCUUACCUGGCCUUGACAUCCAGAGAACUUUCCAGAGAUGGAUUGGUGCCUUCGGGAACUCUGAGACAGGUGCUGCAUGGCUGUCGUCAGCUCGUGUUGUGAAAUGUUGGGUUAAGUCCCGCAACGAGCGCAACCCUUAUCCUUUGUUGCCAGCGAUUCGGUCGGGAACUCAAAGGAGACUGCCGGUGAUAAACCGGAGGAAGGUGGGGAUGACGUCAAGUCAUCAUGGCCCUUACGGCCAGGGCUACACACGUGCUACAAUGGCGCAUACAAAGAGAAGCGACCUCGCGAGAGCAAGCGGACCUCAUAAAGUGCGUCGUAGUCCGGAUCGGAGUCUGCAACUCGACUCCGUGAAGUCGGAAUCGCUAGUAAUCGUGGAUCAGAACGCCACGGUGAAUACGUUCCCGGGCCUUGUACACACCGCCCGUCACACCAUGGGAGUGGGUUGCAAAAGAAGUAGGUAGCUUAACCUUCGGGAGGGCGCUUACCACUUUGUGAUUCAUGACUGGGGUGAAGUCGUAACAAGGUAACAUC